rnacentral:rRNA from 1 species
CCUACGGGAGGCAGCAGUGGGGAAUCUUGCGCAAUGGGCGAAAGCCUGACGCAGCAACGCCGCGUGCGGGAAGAAGGCUUUCGGGCUGUAAACCGCUUUCAGCAGGAACGAAAAUGACGGUACCUGCAGAAGAAGGAGCGGCCAACUAUGUGCCAGCAGCCGCGGUGAUACAUAGGCUUCAAGCGUUGUCCGGAUUUAUUGGGCGUAAAGAGUUCGUAGGCGGUCGAGUAAGUCGGGUGUGAAAAUUCUGGGCUCAACCCAGAGACGCCACCCGAUACUGCUUAACUUGAGUUCGAUAGGGGAGUGGGGAAUUCCUAGUGUAGCGGUGAAAUGCGCAGAUAUUAGGAGGAACACCGGUGGCGAAGGCGCCACUCUGGAUCGAUACUGACGCUGAGGAACGAAAGCAUGGGUAGCAAACAGGAUUAGAUACCCUGGUAGUCCAUGCCGUAAACGGUGGGCACUAGGUGUGGGAUUCUAUUAACGAAUUCCGCGCCGUCGCUAACGCAUUAAGUGCCCCGCCUGGGGAGUACGGUCGCAAGCUAAAACUCAAAGAUAGUGCGNGNGAGAGCGACGACGACGACGACGGAGGAG